UACAGAGGGGGCAAGCGUUAUUCGGAAUUAUUGGGCGUAAAGGGCGCGUAGGCGGCCAUGCAAGUGGAAGGUGAAAUCCCUCGGCUCAACCGAGGAACUGCCUUUCAAACUGCUUGGCUAGAGUCCGGGAGAGGAGAGUGGAAUUCCUGGUGUAGCGGUGAAAUGCGCAGAUAUCAGGAAGAACACCCGUGCGAAAGCGGCUCUCUGGAACGGUACUGACGCUGAGACGCGAAAGCGUGGGGAGCGAACAGG
rnacentral:rRNA from 1 species